rnacentral:rRNA from 1 species
CCUACGGGAGGCAGCAGUGAGGAAUAUUGGUCAAUGGCCGGAAGGCUGAACCAGCCAUGCCGCGUGAAGGUCAGUGCCCUAUGGGCGUUAAACUUCUUUUGUGCGGGAGCAAUAAUGGUCACGUGUGGCCAGACGAGAGUACCGUACGCAUAAGCAUCGGCUAACUCCGUGCCAGCAACCGCGGUAAUACGGGGGAUGCAAGCGUUAUCCUGAUUUCUGGGGUUUAAAGGGUGCGUAAGGUGGUAGAUAAGUCAGCGGUGAAAUGCCCCCGCUCAAAGGGGUGAAGUGCCAUUGAUACUGGCUUGCUGGAAUGCAGAUGCGGUGGGAGGAAUGUGUGGUGUAGCGGUGAAAUGCAUAGAUAUCACACAGAACACCGAUUGCGAAGGCAUCUCACGAAUCCGCGAUUGACGCUGAUGCACGAAAGCGUGGGUAUCAAACAGGAUUAGAUACCCUUGUAGUC